GACAGAGGGUGCAAACGUUGUUCGGAAUUAUUGGGCGUAAAGGGCGCGUAGGCGGCCUUUCAAGUGACGGGUGAAAUCCCUCGGCUUAACCGAGGAACUGCCUGUCAGACUGGGAGGCUUGAGACCGGGAGAGGUGAGUGGAAUUCCCAGUGUAGCGGUGAAAUGCGUAGAUAUUGGGAGGAACACCAGUGGCGAAGGCGGCUCACUGGACCGGAACUGACGCUGAUGCGCGAAAGCGUGGGGAGCAAACAGG
rnacentral:rRNA from 1 species